AGGGAAGAAGAUCCAGACAUAUGCUCACCUGACAAGAAGAGACAUACCCAGAAACAAAGCUGAAAAUGCCAAAACGGCUCUGAGGACCCAGACAAGUAUUGUCAACAAGGAACUGAUUGAGCUACUAACCCAUGAUGCCAGAAACCCUGUGAGGGGUUUGUGAGCUGCAUCUAGGAGCUGCAAGAGAGUGUUCUCAUGAGAAGAUUGGGAGAAUGACUUUUCUGCAUGACUGAGAGAGGAUUCUCCUGACUCAAUUUCCCCACUAUGACACCUGGCAGACUUUAAGCCUGGCUCAAUGCAGUUGGCUAUUAAAUACCUUCUGCCUGUAAUUGACAUGAAGGAUGCCCAGCCUUCUUCCUAAUUCAACAAUGGCUUCAUGGAAUUCAUGAUAUUGAUAUAGAUAACAGGAACCAGCAAAGACUUCAGGAAAAAGUAGUCAAGCCACUUCAUUUCCAUUCCCUCAUCUGCAAAAACUUGGAACCUUAGGAAUUAUCCAAGACAAUACUUCACUUUAUAGAGAUGAGGAAAGUGAGCACAGCUCUUCCAGCCCAAGGAGAAGGUGGAUCCGGGUUUCAGACCUGGGUCUGUUUCCUCAUUUGGGAAAGGAAGAGAUCACAGUAAAUGACUGUGAAGGUCUGUUCCAGCUCUAACUCCUAUUAUCAAGAGCCACACCAAUGAGGAAACUGAAGCUCAAAGUCACAGUUCACAAGUGGGAGACAAAUGGCUGAGGUUUCCAGUCUCAAUCCAAGUGACCACUCCUUUCCCCACCCCAUUUCCUCAACUGCAUGCUCUCCUGCUUAAGACAUUUCAACAGCUUUGAACUGAAGCAAUACAAGGAUCUAAGACAUCUCCAAAGGCCC